rnacentral:rRNA from 1 species
AGGGNGCCGCUAGAGUCGAAACNAGGGNNUCCCUACAGUCGUCANUANGAUACUGCGANAUGGUUGUUAAUGAUGAAANCUUCUGCGCCUGAGGAUAAGUCUGCGGCCUAUCAGGUAGUAGGUGGUGUAAAGGACCACCUAGCCUAAGACGGGUACGGGCCCUGAAAGGGGGAGCCCGGAGAUGGACUCUGAGACAACAGUCCAGGCCCUACGGGGCGCAGCAGGCGCGAAAACUGUGCAAUGCGCGAAAGCGCGACACGGGGAGCCUGAGUGCCUUGACUUUUUGUCAAGGCUUUUCUGAUGCCUAAAAAGCAUCAGGAAUAAGGGCUGGGCAAGACGGGUGCCAGCCGCCGCGGUAACACCCGCAGCCCGAGUGGUGAUCACUUUUAUUGAGUCUAAAGCGUCCGUAACCGGUCUUAUAAAUCUUCAGAUAAAUUCUUCCGCUUAACGGAAGAACUUCUGAAGAGACUGUAAGACUUGGGACCGGGUGAGGUUGAAUGUACUUUCNGGGUAGGGGUAAAAUCCUGUAAUCCUGAAAGGACGACCGGUGGCGAAAGCGUUCAACUAGAACGGAUCCGACGGUGAGGGACGAAGGCUAGGGGAGCAAACCGGAUUAGAUACCCGGGUAGUCCUAGCUGUAAACGCUGCCCACUUGGUGUUGCUUCUCCGUUGAGGGGGAGCAGUGCCGAAGCGAAGGUGUUAAGUGGGUCACUUGGGGAGUACGGCCGCAAGGCUGAAACUUAAAGGAAUUGGCGGGGGAGCACCGCAACGGGAGGAGCGUGCGGUUUAAUUGGAUUCAACGCCGGAAAACUCACCGGGAGCGACCUUCGGAUGAGGGUCAACCUGACGAA